rnacentral:rRNA from 1 species
AGUGAACGCUGGCGGUAGGCCUAACACAUGCAAGUCGAACGGCAGCACAGUAAGAGCUUGCUCUUACGGGUGGCGAGUGGCGGACGGGUGAGGAAUACAUCGGAAUCUACUUUUUUGUGGGGGGUAACGUAGGGAAACUUACGCUAAUACCGCAUACGACCUACGGGUGAAAGCAGGGGAUCUUCGGACCUUGCGCGAUUGAAUGAGCCGAUGUCGGAUUAGCUAGUUGGCGGGGUAAAGGCCCACCAAGGCGACGAUCCGUAGCUGGUCUGAGAGGAUGAUCAGCCACACUGGAACUGAGACACGGUCCAGACUCCUACGGGAGGCAGCAGUGGGGAAUAUUGGACAAUGGGCGCAAGCCUGAUCCAGCCAUACCGCGUGGGUGAAGAAGGCCUUCGGGUUGUAAAGCCCUUUUGUUGGGAAAGAAAAGCAGCAGGUUAAUACCCCGCUGUUCUGACGGUACCCAAAGAAUAAGCACCGGCUAACUUCGUG